AUUGACGCUGGCGGCAGGCCUAACACAUGCAAGUCGAACGAGUGGCGGACGGGUGAGUAAUGUCUGGGAAACUGCCUGAUGGAGGGGGAUGACUACUGGAAACGAAUGCUAAUAGCUGUCACUGAAGGAGGGGAUUGCGUCUGAUUAGAUAGUUGGAGGGGUAACGGCCCACCAAGGCGAUGAUCAGUAGCCGGUCUGAGAGGAUGACCGGCCACAUUGGGACUGAGACACGGCCCAGACUCCUACGGGAGGCAGCAGUGGGGAAUAUUGCACAAUGGGCGCAAGCCUGAUGCAGCCAUGCCGCGUGUGUGAAGAAGGCCUUCGGGUUGUAAAGCACUUUCAGCGGGGAGGCGUUACCCGCAGAAGAAGCACCGGCUAACUCCGUGCCAGCAGCCGCGGUAAUAC
rnacentral:rRNA from 1 species